GAUAAUACAAUUUAUGUGCACUUGGUGAAUGUUGAUGACGAUGACAAAAUCAUUCUGAAAAUAUUAUAAGAACGGCAAUCUGACCUGGAAGUUAUAUAAAAAAAUACAUAAAGGUAAGUGCAUAUUGCCUUCUUUUGUUAAUAUAUAGAAAGAAAAAUAUCUCCUGAUUCUGUUCAUAUGCGUGAUGCUUUUAUCAUGCCAAAUAACCCCACAAUUGACGUUUUUUAGACUCUUGUGAACCUAUUUAUGGCCAAAAGAAAAUAUGUUAAUUUUAUUGAAAAGUCCAGAGAACUCCGAAAGAAAUGUUGACCAAUAUAAAAAAAAAUCAUAGAUGAAUGAUAAGUACACCACCGAAAUGGAUAAACUUGAAUUUAGUGAUCCUUUAAAGGAGGAACUUACACAAAAACAAAAAAAAUCAGAAAUCUUUCCUUUACACAUGACCGACAUUUCGUCUGCAACCACUGCUGAAGUAAUUGAAGUAAAAAACAAACUUGUGC
rnacentral:lncRNA from 1 species